rnacentral:rRNA from 1 species
GACGAACGCUGGCGGCGUGCUUAACACAUGCAAGUCGAACGAAGUGGCGUACGGGUGAGUAACGCGUAAUCAACCUGCCCUUCAGAGGGGGACAACAGUUGGAAACGACUGCUAAUACCGCAUACUGAAGGAGGGGCUUGCGUCUGAUUAGCUAGUUGGAGGGGUAACGGCCCCACAAGGCGAUGAUCAGUAGCCGGUCUGGGGGGAGGAACGGCCAAAGUGGGACUGAGACACGGGCCAGACUCGUACGGGGGGCAGCAGUGGGGAAUCUUCCGCAAUGGAGGAAAGUCUGACGGAGCAACGCCGCGUGAGUGAUGACGGCCUUCGGGUUGUAAAGCUCUGUUAGUCGGGACGCGGUACCGGGAUAGAAAGCCACGGCUAACUACGUGCCAGCCGCCGCGGUAAUUC